UGGGGAAUCUUCGGCAAUGGACGAAAGUCUGACCGAGCAACGCCGCGUGAGUGAAGAAGGUUUUCGGAUCGUAAAACUCUGUUGUUAGAGAAGAACAAGGACGUUAGUAACUGAACGUCCCCUGACGGUAUCUAACCAGAAAGCCACGGCUAACUACGUGCCAGCAGCCGCGGUAAUACGUAGGUGGCAAGCGUUGUCCGGAUUUAUUGGGCGUAAAGCGAGCGCAGGCGGUUUCUUAAGUCUGAUGUGAAAGCCCCCGGCUCAACCGGGGAGGGUCAUUGGAAACUGGGAGACUGGAGUGCAGAAGAGGAGAGUGGAAUUCCAUGUGUAGCGGUGAAAUGCGUAGAUAUAUGGAGGAACACCAGUGGCGAAGGCGGCUCUCUGGUCUGUAACUGACGCUGAGGCUCGAAAGCGUGGGGAGCAAACAGG
rnacentral:rRNA from 1 species